ensembl:misc_RNA Metazoa_SRP Metazoan signal recognition particle RNA
GCCGGGCACAGUAGUGUAUGCCUGUAGUCAGCUACUCGGGAGGCUGAGGUGGGAGGAUCACUUGAGCCCAGGAGUUCUGGGCUGUAGUGCGCUAUGCCGAUCAGGUGUCUGCACUAAGUUCGGCAUCAAUAUGGUGACCUCCUGGGAGCGGGGGACCACCAGGUUGCCUAAGGAGGGGUGAACCAGCCCAGGCCGGAAAUGGAGCAGGUCAAAACUCCCAUGCUGAUCAGUAGCCGGAUCGCGCCUGUGACUAGCCACUGCCCUCCAGCCUGGGCAACAUAGCAAGACCCCCAUCUCU